UAUUUACCUUUUUUCCCUAUUCCAUAAAAAAUAAAAUAAAAAAUUCAAAAAUCAUUUUCAAAGUUUCCAUCUGUGUCUUUCUCCUUUGCCUUUUUUUUGGGGUUCCACACGCAACUUUCCAUUUUUUAUUUCUUCCUUCUUUUCUUUUUGGGGCUCCACAUGUUUUCUCUUUUUUGACUUCAUACCAUAUUUUCCCUAAAUUGCUCCAUCUCCCUUCUCUUUCUCCUGCAAACCAGCCGCCUCCCUCAUCUCCUUUGUCCUCUCUCCUUCUCUCUGUCCCUCACCUGCGCUCCCUUUCCCCGAUUUUCCUCCACUCUCAUUCGUCGCUGUCCCCCACUCGCUACACCCCGCUCCUCUUCUUCUUCCAUCUAAAACCCUAAUCACAAUCCUAUAAAAAGAGGGGAACGAGGAGAAGCGAGGAGGACGAAAUACCUCUCAUUUAAGCUAUUUUUCUACUUUUGCUAAAAAAAAAAACAUUAGCAUUUUAUAUCUUUCAAUCUCUGUCCGUUUCUAUUUUGUAAAAGGAGAGUAGAUCUGAGACUUGACGCCCCGUUCACUGUGCUCACAAGAGAGUUUGACUUCGAAACUCAAGGACACCGCUUAUGGAGUCCACAUAUCUGCACGAAUUUUUCUUGUCUCUCAAAUAUCAAUUUACAGAGGGGAUUUUGUCCUCCCAUUAAAGCCGAAUGUGCUACUUAAUCGUCCCUCUUUUCUCUGGUUGCUUUGCUUACUUAUGAUGGUGAAUGAUUUUAUUUUCAGUUA